rnacentral:rRNA from 1 species
UUCCGGUUGAUCCNGCCGGACUUGCUAUCGGGGUCCGACUAAACCAUGCGAGUCACGGGGGUGUCCCUCUGGGACACCACCGGCGGACGGCUCAGUAACACGUCGGUAACCUACCCUCGGGAGGGGGAUAACCCCGGGAAACUGGGGCUAAUCCCCCAUAGGCCUGAGGUACUGGAAGGUCCUCAGGCCGAAAGGGGCUUUUGCCCGCCCGAGGAUGGGCCGGCGGCCGAUUAGGUAGUUGGUGGGGUAACGGCCCACCAAGCCGAAGAUCGGUACGGGCUGUGAGAGCAGGAGCCCGGAGAUGGACACUGAGACACGGGUCCAGGCCCUACGGGGCGCAGCAGGCGCGAAACCUCCGCAAUGCGGGAAACCGCGACGGGGGGACCCCGAGUGCCGUGGCAUCGCCACGGCUUUUCCGGAGUGUAAAAAGCUCCGGGAAUAAGGGCUGGGCAAGGCCGGUGGCAGCCGCCGCGGUAAUACCGGCGGCCCGAGUGGUGGCCGCUAUUAUUGGGCCUAAAGCGUCCGUAGCCGGGCCCGUAAGUCCCUGGCGAAAUCCCACGGCUCAACCGUGGGGCUUGCUGGGGAUACUGCGGGCCUUGGGACCGGGAGAGGCGGGGGGUACCCCUGGGGUAGGGGUGAAAUCCUAUAAUCCCAGGGGGACCGCCAGUGGCGAAGGCGCCCCGCUGGAACGGGUCCGACGGUGAGGGACGAAGGCCAGGGGAGCAAACCGGAUUAGAUACCCGGGUAGUCCUGGCUGUAAAGGAUGCGGGCUAGGUGUCGGGCGAGCUUCGAGCUCGCCCGGUGCCGUAGGGAAGCCGUUAAGCCCGCCGCCUGGGGAGUACGGCCGCAAGGCUGAAACUUAAAGGAAUUGGCGGGGGAGCACUACAAGGGGUGGAGCGUGCGGUUUAAUUGGAUUCAACGCCCGGAACCUCACCGGGGGCGACGGCAGGAUGAAGGCCAGGCUGAAUCUUGCCGGACACGCCGAGAGGAGGUGCAUGGCCGCCGUCAGCUCGUACCGUGAGGCGUCCACUUAAGUGUGGUAACGAGCGAGACCCGCGCCCCCAGUUGCCAGCCCUUCCCGCUGGGAAGGGGGCACUCUGGGGGGACUGCCGGCGAUAAGCCGGAGGAAGGAGCGGGCGACGGUAGGUCAGUAUGCCCCGAAACCCCCGGGCUACACGCGCGCUACAAUGGGCGGGACAAUGGGAUCCGACCCCGAAAGGGGAAGGGAAUCCCCUAAACCCGCCCCCAGUUCGGAUCGCGGGCUCGAACUCGCCCGCGUGAAGCUGGAAUCCCUAGUACCCGCGUGUUAUCAUCGCGCGGCGAAU